GGUCGAUCGAGAGCACGAGGGCCCGGGCCAAGAAACGACAAGUCUUGCCGGAUUUCAUGAAGCCAGCCCCAGAGCUCUUGGAGUUGGAAGCUGCGCUGGCUCAGUGGCGUGCUCGCCAGGCCAGUCACCGCGAGGAGGCCGCUGCUAAGUGGGAGGGAUUGGCGAGCAAGGGCGCAAAGUUGACAUGCUGGCCCUCGGGGAGACAUUGGCCUGAUCCAGAUUGGGGCUCACGAGCCGCCAGCACAGCUGAGAGCUGGCGAUUACUGAAAGAG
rnacentral:ribozyme from 1 species